UCCAGACUCCUACGGGAGGCAGCAGUGGGGGAUAUUGCACAAUGGGGGGAACCCUGAUGCAGCGACGCCGCGUGGGUGAAGGAGCGUUUCGGCGCGUAAAGCCCUAUCGGCAGGGAAGAAGGAGGACGGUACCUGACUAAGAAGCCCCGGCUAACUACGUGCCAGCAGCCGCGGUAAUACGUAGGGGGCAAGCGUUAUCCGGAUUUACUGGGUGUAAAGGGGGCGCAGACGGCAGCGCAAGCCAGGAGUGAAAGCCCGGGGCCCAACCCCGGGACUGCUCUUGGAACUGCGCGGCUGGAGUGCAGGAGGGGCAGGCGGAAUUCCUGGUGUAGCGGUGAAAUGCGUAGAUAUCAGGAGGAACACCGGUGGCGAAGGCGGCCUGCUGGACUGCGACUGACGUUGAGGCCCGAAAGUGUGGGGAGCAAACAGGAUUAGAUACCCUCGUAUC
rnacentral:rRNA from 1 species